UACAGAGGGUGCAAGCGUUAAUCGGAAUUACUGGGCGUAAAGCGUGCGUAGACGGUUAUGUAAGUCGGGUGUGAAAGCCCCGGGCUCAACCUGGGAAUGCCAUUCGAGACUGCAUAGCUAGGGUGCGGAAGAGGGAAGCGGAAUUUCCGGUGUAGCGGUGAAAUUCGUAGAUAUUCGGAAGAACACCAGUGGCGAAGGCGACUUACUGGACACAUAUUGACGCUGAGGUGCGAAAGCGUGGGGAGCAAACAGG
rnacentral:rRNA from 1 species